ACAGAUGGUUGUGAGCGACCAAGUGGCUGCUGGGACUUGAACGCAGGACCUCUGGAAGAGCAGUUAGUGCUCUGAACUACUGAGCUGUCCCGCCAGCCUGCAUCAUUUUUGUGUAUUUGCGGGAGCUGUGGAAGCAUUCUUGAUACAGCACAAGUGGGGAAGUCACAAGACAACUCGUAAGAGUCAGUUUUCUCUUUCAAGCACAUAAGAGGUCCAGAGUUCAAAUCCCAGCAACCACAUGGU